GACGGAGGAUGCAAGCGUUAUCCGGAAUUACUGGGCGUAAAGCGUGCGUAGACGGCUAUCUAAGUCGGGUGUGAAAGCCCCGGGCUCAACCUGGGAAUUGCAUUCGAGACUGAAUAGCUAGGGUGCGGUAGAGGGAAGCGGAAUUUCCGGUGUAGCGGUGAAAUGCGUAGAUAUCGGAAGGAACAUCAGUGGCGAAAGCGGCUUCCUGGACCAGCACCGACGUUCAGGCACGAAAGCGUGGGGAGCAAACAGG
rnacentral:rRNA from 1 species